UUCGCCUUUACGUUUUCUAAAAGCAACAGCUAACCAUUCGCCUUGAUUGAAAAAAGUGAAGGUUAAUCCCUUUACUUUCUCACCAUUUUGGCCACUUUCAAAAACUCGAAAAGUGAACAAAAAGGAGAAAUCGCAGCGUAAAGUACCUACUUACCAGUAAUAAUGUUUUGGCCAAUAAUCAAAUAUAUGGCAUUUUUGGCAACUUUACCAAUUUCGGGAAAAAAUGGUUAAAAAGAAAAGCCUAUUAAACACUUCCCUUUUUCUCCGCCCAGCACCCAGCCUGCGACCGGGCAUACUCAGAUGCUGGAAUGGAUGUUGGUCAUUUUAUAUCAGCAAAAGUGAUAGAAUGAAAUAAUAAAAAUGGGUUUUAACGCAUUUGAGUUGG